CAGUCGCCGCGGUAAUACGGAGGGUGCAAGCGUUACUCGGAAUUACUGGGCGUAAAGCGUGCGUAGGUGGUGGUUUAAGUCCGUUGUGAAAGCCCUGGGCUCAACCUGGGAAUUGCAGUGGAUACUGGGUCACUAGAGUGUGGUAGAGGAUAGUGGAAUUUCCGGUGUAGCAGUGAAAUGCGUAGAGAUCGGAAGGAACAUCUGUGGCGAAGGCGACUAUCUGGGCCAACACUGACACUGAGGCACGAAAGCGUGGGGAGCAAACAGGAUUAGAGACCCCCGUAGUCCCUGUCUCUUAUAC
rnacentral:rRNA from 1 species